GGAUGGAUUGCUUCAGACAAUUUUAUCUUUUAAUAACAGACUUUAGAAAAAGAAGAACCAUUUCUUUAAAACCCUUACCCAGAUAUGGGGGAAUGUUAGACCAUAUUAGUGUGAGAUGAGUGACAGCAAUUUCACUGUUAUUUUAUCUUCUCUUUCCGUAAGCCACGAAUGCCUUAUCAGUAGUCAGGGAACUUCUCUUUUUUUUGUAGCAACCAUCAUUUAGCAUUUCCAACAUGCACAAUAAAUAAGGGAUGCAAGAUCCAUCAUCUUGUUCAUGGAUCCCUAUGACUCAUUCACUUAGAGGGACAGCACAUGAAAAGUGCUACCUGCACAAUGACCCCUUUACAAAUUGCAGGAUUCCUCAAUGAUUAAAGAAUGGAUUGCAUGUCCAGCAUUUGAAUGUAACAAUUAAC